GUGUAAGUACUCGCCAAAACUAAAAUGGUGAAACCGCGAAAAGCUCAUUAAAUCGGCUUUGGUUCCUUAGAUAGUAAGCAGAAAUGAUUUUUCAAUAAUUAAAUAAUUAUAUUUAAUUUUGAAAAAAAAAUUCUGAUAUUGGAUAACUGUGGUAAUUCUAGAGCUAAUACAUGAAAAUUAAAUCAGUGUGAAAUUUUUUUGCAAGAAAAAAUUUUGCACGCUUUUAUUAGAGGAAAAAGCCAAUUUAAAAAUAAUUUUUGUAAAAGAAAAUUAUUUAAUAUUAAUUAAAUAAAUUUAAAAUUUAAACAUUUUAAAUUUUUUAAGUGUUGAAUCUGAAUAACUUAAACAAAUUUCUAUAAAAAGAAUGUGUAAAUUAUUAAUUUUACAUAAUUAGAAUUGGUGCAAACUGGUGAUAAUUUUGAAAAAUUAAUGUUUAUGUAUUUUUUUAUUAUUAUAGAAGUUUAAAGCUGACCGCAACAAUAUGCUUUUUAAAGAAAUUUUUGUAAAAGAAAAUUUUUUCAAUUAGUAUUGCGGCGUAUCUUUCAAUUGUCUGCCUUAUCAACUUUCGAUGGUAGAUUACAUGCCUACCAUGGUUAUAACGGGUAACGGAGAAUCAGGGUUCGAUUCCGGAGAGGGAGCCUGAGAAACGGCUACCACAUCUAAGGAAGGCAGCAGGCACGCAAAUUACCCACUCCCGGCUCGGGGAGGUAGUGACGAUAAAUAACGAUACGGAACUCUAAUGAGUUUCCGUGAUCGGAAUGAGUGUAAUUUAAAUCCUUAUACGAGGAGCAAAUGGAGGGCAAGUCUGGUGCCAGCAGCCGCGGUAAUUCCAGCUCCAUUAGCAUAUAUUAAAGUUGUUGCGUUUAAA
rnacentral:rRNA from 1 species